rnacentral:rRNA from 1 species
CCUACGGGUGGCAGCAGUGGGGAAUAUUGGGCAAUGGGCGCAAGCCUGACCCAGCAACGCCGCGUGAAGGAAGAAGGCUUUCGGGUUGUAAACUUCUUUUCUCAGGGACGAAGCAAGUGACGGUACCUGAGGAAUAAGCCACGGCGAACUACGUGCCAGCAGCCGCGGUAAUACGUAGGUGGCAAGCGUUAUCCGGAUUUACUGGGUGUAAAGGGCGUGUAGGCGGGGACGCAAGUCAGAUGUGAAAACCACGGGCUCAACCUGUGGCCUGCAUUUGAAACUGUGUUUCUUGAGUACUGGGGAGGUAGACGGAAGUCCGGGUGUAGCGGUGAAAUGCGUAGAUAGUAGGAGGAACACCAGUGGCGAAGGCGGUCUACUGGACAGCAACUGACGCUGAGGCGCGAAAGCGUGGGGAGCAAACAGGAUUAGAUACCCCGGUAGUC